rnacentral:rRNA from 1 species
ACGGAGGAUCCGGGCGUUAUCCGGAAUUACUGGGUUUAAAGGGUGCGUAGGCGGGGCUUUAAGCCGGCGGUGAAAUGGAGGGGCUCAACCGCUGGAAUGCCGUUGGGGCUGGAGCUCUUGGAUACGGUCGGGGCGGGUGGAACGCGUGGUGUAGCGGUGAAAUGCAUAGAUAUCACGAGGAACGCCGGUAGCGAAGGCAGCUCGCCGGGCCGGUAUCGACGCUGAGGCAGGAAAGCGUGGGGAUAGAACAG